UGGUUCUGUAGGCUAAUAGGCAAACCAAGUCCCUCAUAAGGACAAAUCGCCGGAUCGUUACCGGCCAGAACCACCAA
rnacentral:tRNA from 1 species